rnacentral:rRNA from 1 species
UUGAGAGUUUGAUCCUGGCUCAGGAUGAACGCUGGCGGCGUGGAUAAGGCAUGCAAGUCGAGCGGGCUGUUAUCUUCGGAUAAUAGUCAGCGGCGAACGGGUUAGUAACGCGUAGGUAUUUACCUCUGUCUCGGGCAUAACCCGCCGAAAGGCGGGCUAAUUCCCGAUAGUCUCUUUGGAGUAAAGAUUAAGAGCAAUCUUUUUUGGACAGAGAGAAGCCUGCGUCCUAUCAGCUUGUUGGUAGGGUAACGGCCUACCAAGGCGAUGACGGGUAGGGGGUGUGAGAGCAUGGCCCCCAACAAUGGGACUGCGAACGGCCCAUACACCUACGGGUGGCAGCAGUCGAGAAUCUUUGGCAAUGGGCGAAAGCCUGACCAAGCGACGCCGCGUGAACGAAGAAGCCCUUCGGGGUGUAAAGUUCUUUUAUUAGGGAAAAAUAGGAUUUUUCCUAUGAUGGUACCUAAUGAAUAAGGGGCUGCUAAACUCGUGAACAUUCCCGGGCUCGUCCGGGAAGGCGCGACUCCCAAGAGUAAUCUUGGGAUGCAUAACUUGGCUUAUAUGCUGGAACAUCCAAUUAACUAAGAGCUACUCUUUUAGAGUGACAAUGCUCUUAAAGCUCUUUUUGAGCGUUGGACAAUCAGCAGGGAAGUAAGUUAUAAUUGGAGUAAAGGAAGAGAAAAAUUUCUUCACUUGGUAAAACCUUAUAUUCUUAAUUGUUUUAAACAUAAAUUACCUCCAAUAUAACUUACCCUUCAGAGACUGAAGUCGUUUUUUAACGACUGAGAUAGUAGAUACUAGAUAAUCUAGAUAAAAACUACUAUCAUACGCCGAGAAUCCUAAACUAUUAGGAUUAUGAGAUAGUCCAUUGACUACAACACAUUUAUAUCUAUGUGUCAAUAGCCAGCAGCAGCGGUAAGACGAGUGCCCCAAGCGUUAUCCGGAAUUAUUGGGCGUAAAGCGUGAGUAGGCGGUUUUGAUAGUGGGUGGUUAAAUUUCGGGGCUCAACCCCGAAGCCGCCAUCCAAACGUCAAAACUAGAGCAGGUGAGAGGCUGAUGGAACCUACCAAGUAGGGGUGAAAUCCGUUGAUAUGGUAGGGAACACCAAAGGCGAAGGCAUUCAGCUGGCGCCUGGCUGACGCUGAAUCACGAAAGCGUGGGGAGAAAAAAGGAUUAGAUACCCUUGUAUUCCACGCCCUAAACGAUGCCAACUAGCCGUCGGGAGUAUCGACCCUCUCGGUGGCGAAGCUAACGCGUUAAGUUGGCCGCCUGGGAAUUACGGCCGCAAGGCUAAAACUCAAAGGAAUAGACGGGGAUUCGCACAAGCGGUGGACCAUGUGGUUCAAUUCGAUUCUAAGCGAGGAACCUUACCGGGGUUAGACUCCCUGAUGAAAAACUUGAGAAAUCAGGUUUGUCUUACAAGGACAUCAGGGUCAGGUGAUGCACGGUUAUUUUACCCCGCGCCUUUCAAGUUGAAAUUUUCUUUUCAAGAAAAUUUAUUUUCUUGAACAACUUGAAAGGCGCGGGGUUUACGAUGACCCUUUUAGCAGUAAUGCUAAUUGAAAAAUCGGCUGGUAACGGUGGAACCCAUUUACUUUUUAUGUUAAAAUGAAGGUAAAUGGACAAUACCGUGGGAAGUAUAGAUAUUAAUAAAUUACUUUUGGAUUCACAAGGAGCCUAUAUUUUAGGUUUAUGGUGUUCUGAUGGUUAUCAUAGGACAAGUAGUAUUGGAUUAAGCAAUACAGAUGAAGAACUUUUAGAAAGAUUUGCUUUAUUCCUAUUAGAUAUUUUUCCUAAAAAUCGGUUAAGAAUAAGAGCUUAUCAUCCUAUCAAGACAAAAAUACCGAGAAUUUCAAAUAGGCUUUCUGUUAUUACAGAAAAUAUUGUUUAUUAUCCAUCAUUCAAAGCAAGGCAGAUGGUUUGUCAUUUAUAUGUCAAUAGCCGUCCUUUAUUGCGGAUAUUUAAGUUAGCAAGAGAUAAAAUAGAGCAAAUAGAUUCAAAAGUAAUCACGUCUUAUGUGGCAGGACGAUUUGAUGGAGAUGGCUCUGUGAAUAAGAAAAAAGACAGAGAUUUUAGAAUACUUUAUGGAAAUUAUAAAGAAGCCGAAAUAGACCAAUACUUAUUAAGAAAAGUAGGCAUUGAUAAAACGAGGAUUUAUCACUAUAAACAGGCAAAAACUUUCUGUUUAUAUGUAUUACGACAAGAAACGGCAAAUAUCAUAGAAUUGCUUUCGCCAUUUUCCAAUUAUUUACAGAAAUUAAUAUUUAUUACCCCGUAGAGACUUUUAAGCUAUAAAAAGCUUAAUAAUAAUAGAUUUAAACUAUUAUUAUACGCCGACCCCCAUUUUUGCGCAAACGCGAAAAAAAAGGGGGAUGAUAUAGUCCGUACUAUAAGUAAUUAUGGAAUAAUACAGUCGUCAGUCUGAGAUGUGAAUUGCUCCCUUAAGUGGGGUAUCAGACGCAACCCUUAUGCUGUGUUAUAUGUGUCACAGCAGACUGCCUCCGGAUAGGAGGAGGAAGGCGAGGAUGACGUCAAAUCAGCGUGUCCCUUAUGCCCCGGGCCACACACGUGGUACAAUGGCCGCUACAAAGGGUUUGCCAAGCCGCAAGGCGGAGCUAAUCCCAUCAAAAGCGGUCUCAGUUCGGAUUGAGGGCUGCAACUCGCCCUCAUGAAGCCGGAAUCGCUAGUAAUCGUGAAUCAGCCAUGUCACGGUGAAUACGUUCCCGAAUCUUGUACUCACUGCCCAUCAAUCUAGAAAAGUGGGGAAUACCCGAAAUCUUCAUUUAUUGGGGACUAAGGUAAGCUCCAUAAUUAGAGAUAAGUUGUAACAAGGCACCGGUAGCGGAAGCUGUCGGUGGAUCACCUCCUU